rnacentral:rRNA from 1 species
UACGGGGGGGCAAGCGUUGUUCGGAAUUACUGGGCGUAAAGGGCGCGUAGGCGGUUUGCUAUGUCGGAUGUGAAAACUCUGGGCUUAACCCAGAGCCUGCAUCCGAAACUGGCGAGCUAGAGUUCUGGAGGGGAUAGCGGAAUUCCUGGUGUAGCGGUGAAAUGCGUAGAUAUCAGGAGGAACACCAGUGGCGAAGGCGGCUACCUGGACAGAAACUGACACUGAGAGACGAAAGCUAGGGGAGCAAACGGG